UUUUUUUUUCAAAAUCAACAAUUUCCUUCUCAUAAGCAUAAUAAUAACAGAUACCAGCCAUUACAAUUCCAUAUAUUUCGUACAACAAACAUGAUUAAACAAAAAAAAAAAAGGGCUUCAAUACAAGAAAGGGAUAACAGCUUUUCUAGCCCUGGGAUAAUCUUCUCCAAACUUGUCCAGAUACCACUUAUGGUUAGCAAAUGCCCUGGGCAUUAAGUUGGCACAUGUGUAGAGGAAAAACCCAAACCCAACCCAAGACCAUGUCAUCACACUCCACCCAAGCCA
rnacentral:misc_RNA from 1 species